AUACAUUAAAACUAUAAACGCUGGCAAGCAGUUUUUAAUUAACAAUGCAAAUGGUUACCUGCACAGUCAAGUUGUUUAUUAUCUCAUGAAUAUUCACACACAAAAGCGUUCUCUCUAUAUAACUGCUCACGGAGAAUGUGAUUACAAUGUAAAACAAGAGCUUGGUGGAAUUUCUGGCCUAACUAAAACUGGGAAG